GUUUCAGUUUCAAGUUUUACUUGUCACAAAUUCAGUGAAAUGUUUAACUUGCAAGCCCUACCCAACAGUGCAGGAUUCAAUAUAAAAUAGUAUAACUAAUACAAAAUGUAGAACACGAGAAAUAAGAAAUAAGAGAGGAAGCUAUAUACAGGGUCAGCGCCAGUACCAAAUGUACAAUGUGAAGGGAUACUGGAGUAUUUGAGGUAGAUAUGUACAUGUACUGUAGGCAAGUGUUGCGAGAUAACUCAAUCCGUUGGAAUACUGUGAGACAAGCAUUUAUAUAAAAGACCACUCCGUAAGCCACGCCCCAGUGGGCAGAGCUAGGCAUGUUGCACUUAGACACGUUUUAAUACAAAAAGCCUCUACUUUUACAAUGCGUCUUCCACAUGGCAGGAUUAGACAGAUGGGUAAACAGAUAAGAUUUACUAAGGUCCCAGCCCAUAUGGGGGUGGAGGGGAACAAGGCAGGCAGUUGAUGUACUGGCUAAACAAGCACAUAGAAGUGGGGAUGUUGAUGUCGUAGUUUCAAUGGGCAAGACAGAGGCAAAAAGCCUGAUAUGGACAGUAAUGGUGCAGAGAUGGCAGGAGCAGUGGAAUAGAGAUACUAAGGGCAGGCAUUUAUUUCUAGUAAAGAGGAAAGUCGGGGAGGGGAGGACAGCAGGAAGGGACAGAAGAGAGGAGGCUAUUUUUACAAGAAUAAGGGUGGGAUACAGCCAGUUGAAUAAGACCUUACAUGUGAUAGGAAAUCAUCCAACAGAAAAGUGUGAGUAUUGCCAGGAAACAGACUGUGGAGCAUGUAUUGCUACAGUGUGGGCUGUAUCAGAGGGAACGAGAGAGACUGAGAUCUAGUAUGAAGGAGAAGGGGAUACAGGAAAGUAGUUUAAAGAGUAUUUUGAGUAGAACGUCAUUGGAUAUAGUCUCAAAUAUUUUGUUAUCUUUUUUAAGAGUAACGGGAGCUGGCAGGUAGGAUUUUGUUUCUCGCCGUCUCUGGCCCACACUCCAGUACAGUAGGUGGCGGUAAUGCACCAUAACGUUGGAUGCCAACGCUGAUAAACCCCACUGAAGAAGAAGAAUGGCUCUUCCAGGGCAGAAGAGUCGAGUUGUGUACGUUGUUCGCAUGAGGUUCCUUGAUUGGUGAAGCGUGUAGAGUUUAUCCAUAGUUUGGGGAAUGGAAAAUGGCAGAGAGUAGUGUGGAUGAAAUUGAGGAAAAGUUGGUGAAGCAACAGCUGUGCUGGAAUGCGAACAAAGUGUCAGUUCUGAUGACAUGGAGCGGGAGGAUGAGGGUCAAGGACUGGAAUGGCCGGUAGUGGAAAGACAUAGGAAGAAGAGAGAUCAUGAUACAGAAAGUAGUGGAGCAUCUAGUAAAGGAAGCAUAAAGAGGACCAAGGUAAGAAGCAAUAGUAGGGAUGUGUUGGAGUGGAAAAUGGUGAUAGUGUUUGAUGAGACCAAAGGGUCUCACACACUAUCAGACUUACUAAUGCCAUAGAGAAUAUGUAUUGCUCUAUUGUGGUGUUGCCCAGCCAGUCUCCCCAYGUUAACAGCACCAUGGCAUGACUCCAAACCUUUUCUCCCAGGUACGUCAGGCAGGUAUCUGUCUUAUUCGCCAUUCAGUGAAUGAGGAGAAUACAGGAAUCACAAUGAGAAGCAUAUGGGGUCCAGGGCAGCAUAGGGCCACACUCCGCACUGAGUCCUCAGAAUCAAAUUCAGUGGUGAACUCACACUUCCAGCCAGCCGUAUCAACUAAGACCACCUGUCUACCAGCCACUUCACCCUGUCGUCUCACACUGUGCGCCAGUCUAUCAGUAUCAAACACCUUGCCCAGGAUGGUGUUCCCUGCCAUGCUCCUCCCAACACAGUUCGCACCCAGAAGCACAGCCCUCACCUCCACAUCAUGUUUACCUCCUAUAAGGCAAACAAAAAGAUGGACAGACAAAGGGGAGAGAUGACAAUAUUUGUUUAUAGAGCAUUGAAUUUCACUAAUUGAUUAACGCCCACCCCCCACAGAAAACAUUCAUCCCAUAGAUUCCAAACCUAUUCCCAAUAUACACUCACCACCCACAGUUGCUCUGUUCUUCUUCAUCUUCAUUAGCCUCAGCAUCCCUCAGUUCUUCACAUCCUAUCUCUUCUGCAGCAACUUUACAAUCAUAUCAUUGUGAAUUUGAUAACAACCACUCUGUGCUACCAUCCUCUCUAUAUUUUGCAACAGUCKGUGACCUGAGUCACAUUCUCCCUGUUUCUGUUGUCUAUGAUAUGCCACCUGUUCUCACAGUUUUCUACAAGUCUUUGAAGGAUGCCUUCCUCACUUGAAAUGUGCUGCUCUAAUGUCGUGUCCACAAGCCAAUUCCUUCUGGUAAAGAGCACCAUGGUGUGUCUCCAUACCCUCUGCUCAAGGAGCUGGUUCAGGUGUUCCUCCACUGUGUCUGUGUGCAGUAUGUGCAAGGAAAGCACAAGGAGGAAGGCAUGUGGGACACAGCAAGAGCAAUUUCCUGCUUGUCCUGUGCUGAGGUCACUGCCAACAAGUUAUUCCACCACCAGCCAGGUGUGUCUACCACAGUGGCCUGUCUGCCAGCAACAGCUGUCUGUCAGCUUACACACUGGGCAGUCCUCUUCGUUGUGUCAAACUCCUCCGCACCCAGGAUUGUGUUUCCUGCCAAGUUUUUGCCAGAAUGCCCUUCCCCAACAGCACAAGUUGAAGGUCUGCCUGUGUGAUGGGGGAGAGAGAAAUAAAGAAGGUAAAUACAAAUGCAGUCAUGGUUAUUCACCAUUGUCUAAUUAUUACUAUGCCUAAUUUACAUAUAUUAUACUUUAUAUACUGUACCUGUAAAGUAGAAUACCAGAUUCCCAUGGUGUAAAUUCUAUGUUUAAUAGAAGAUGAGGUGAAUAAUUUUCCUAAAUACGCAAAAAUAAAUGUUUGUCUUGUCUGUAGGCCAGGGUUAUAUCUCCUUAUUAUUAAAUAUUGAUUUGAUUGUAGUCGGGACCCAUCCAUUAGGGCAUUAGGGGUGGUACUCCACUUGUGAUUGGUAAAAAAACAUGACUUUUUUUGGUGAAAAAUGAAUAAUAUAUUCAUUCAUUGGAUUAUGUUUAAAUUGUCCAUAAAAGCMUGGUUAAUUUGUGUACAUUUUACUGUUCCAAAAAUAUUUUAUCAAAUGACUUUCACAGCACAAAGUAAAUGACUGUCCUGGGGGAGUUCAGAUGAACACCCAGGUCUUCUGGACCUGCUCUAGAAGCCCCUGACUGCGCUCUUCAAAACUCUUGUGCAUGCUGGAGCAUAAAAAGCUGUUGAAUUCUAGUUUUUCUUUACUUACACAUACACUGUGUUGACAGAAACAUUGCUCAGAUCUUGUCCCCUGGACCUUGGAGGACUUUUGGUGUGGAUGAUGAUCAGGGCCUGCCAAAGCAAGGUUUCUCAAACAACUGUGGGGUGUUUGUUUUGAUGGACCUGUUUCCUACAGUUUUUACACUACAUACACAAUUCAUACAUCAAACUCCUGCAGAGCUGGAUGCUGAUGUGACAUGUGUCUUCUACAUCUUGAAAUAUAUUCCUGGUGGGGGGGUGGUAUUAUUAAUAUUUACUAUUAUCAUUAUUGUUGUUAUCAUAACUAUCAAACUUAACAACCUACUCUUUCUUAACUUACAGUACGCUCUGUACAUUGCAAUGGAAGCACAGUGUGAUUUCACUGAGGUAUGUAUAAAUUAUGAAAUUCUCAUCACUAGUGGCGACUAGGCGAUGGUGGUGCCAACUUUCCCAUGCCGUAAGUCUUGAACAUUAUAAAAACUUUUCAUUUGUGUCCUUAAAAUCACUUGUUUCACUGUAGCCAGACUGACCUGAAUAUAUUUUCAUAUUGAAUGUAUGUAAUGUAUGUCAUUCACUCACUAAGGUCUGAAGAAGACAGGUUGAAAGAUCGAAAAAGGUGGCGAAAACAAAACGCACUACAGGUAGGAGGUGUCAUAUGAUGAGUGGUAUAUUCUUAAACCAAUGUUUAAAGACAUAAACCCCGCCCCUCUCCAAUAUAUUUCAGGAUGAUGUAGAAGAUAAUUUGACCUGGAUCACCCAAUGAGACACUACUCUGCAUAUUUAUUCUUACUUUUUCUUCAAGGAAGCAUAUGUUCUUCUAAGGGACACCCUAGAGGCAGCAAGGUGGUGCGAACGCCAAACAUUUAAAGGCACUGUUCCCCUCCCUAGUGUAAUUGGGAUGGAAAGGGAAGACCGCAUUACAACCCUUAAAGAACUACGGUUGUAUGAUGGCCUGGAUGAAGAUGAAAAUAUUCUCCUCAAGGAACCAUUCAUGUUCUCGUUCCAGUUACAGAGAGUUCUAUGUGGAGGCAGUUGACAACAAGAAAAUGACUGACUGCCUCUUUUGAGGAGCAGGAGUGAAGCCAUUUUUGAGGAGUGGUCAAACAUAAUUUUUGUCUGCUGUGUUAAUUGUUUCAAUUGUUAAUUGUGUUGUUUAGUAAAGAUGACGUAGAAGUCA